rnacentral:tRNA from 1 species
GGGGCUGUAGCUCAGUGGGCGAGCUUCUGGUUGGCAUGCAGAAGGUCCCAGGUUCAAUUCUGGUGAAUGACUUCUGCCCUG